GGUGCCAUAGCUCAGUUGGUAGAGCAAAGGACUGAAAAUCCUUGUGUCGCUGGUUCGAUUCCAGCUGGCACCACCC
rnacentral:tRNA from 1 species